GUGAAAGAAGACAAAUCCAACUUACCUUCACCCGGCCGGGGAAUUGAACCCUGAUCCUUCUGGUUGUGAGCCAGACGCUCUACCCCUGAGCUACCGGGCUGUGUAUGUGUGUGUGUGUGUGUGUGUGUGUGUGUUUACUCUUUUAUAUCGUAUACUUGUUGACUUAGGUAUUGCUCACUUGAGUGCUGCAUUGAGCUGCUGUAUUGCAGAUGGUGAAAGCUACCUAUUCUGCACUGACAAUAGAUGAAGCACAUGCCUUGUUGUGUGAAAAGGGCGCCGAGGGAGAGUUUGAAAAGGGCGAUGUGAUUAUUGGACCACCAGAUGCAGAUGAACUGACUGACGAAGAGGAUGUCAGUGGUGAUGUAAUUGGUGAAAUAUCUGUUCAAGAUGUACCAGGUACACUAGAGGUUCAUGUGGACAAAGAUGUCACUGAGGAAUGUGCUGUAUAGAAAGAUAAACCCACCAGAAAAAAAAGGAAAUUCUGUGAUCAUUUCAGCAAUUUGGUAUAUUUGAAGAAAGCAUUUCUGUAGGUGAAAAUUCAUAAAUUCCUGCAUGAAGGAAAGGAUCAGCUUGAUUUGAUAACCUUCAGAAGAGAGAUUUGUGUUCCACACCUGAAGCUGGGUGAUGCAAAUGGAAGACUGGGAAGGAAAAGCUGUGCCCCUAGCCCGUCCACAACAAUGGUUGAUGCUCGCUAUGAUGGAAAGGCCCAUGUCAUUGCAAAGCGGGAGAAGGAAAGACGGUGCCAAAGGAAGGCGUUGCAGCACUGCACAAGUAUUUUUGUUUUGUAUUGGAUUUUACUAUUGAUAUACACAUGGCAGAACUGUUACUAUAACAGGUACAUUUUUACUUUUAGUUUUCAUUAUAAUAGUAAACUGCGUGUUGUCAAAAAGAAUAAUAGAGUAUUUUUCAUGCUCCAUAUAUAUGAAAAAGAAUAUUACAUAGUAAUAGUUUUCUUUCCUUAUUUUCCCAGUUGAUAUGAUAUUGUCCCAGUGUCCUCUUUUGAGGACAGCUGAUUUCAAGCUUAUUAAAGGAAAAUAAAAGCUAAGACCAUUAUGUUGCAUCUUUCUUUAACCAGAUGAAUGUAAUUUAAUGAAAACUACCAAAAAAUACUAAAAGAAAAGACCCUUGAGAUUUAAUAGGUUAAACCUUUCUUCCCUUCUCCCUUUUUUCCCCCUCGUGUGUGUGUGUGUGUGUGUGUGUGUGUGUGUGUGUGUUACCCACAUUACUAACAGGCAGAUGAAUGGUGGCUGUCUGCUAACUGAUCUUCUCUUGGCAGGUUUUGUUCCCAGCUGUCCCUUGAAGGUCUCAGGCAGCAGCCAUCCCUCAUGAUGAUGCAGCUCCCCUCAGCCUACCGGGCGGCCGCUGGUGCUGGGAACACACCCACGCCUCCCCCAACCCAGCUGCAAGGGGAACUUGCUGAGAGUGCAACAAUGGCAGCCUAUAGACACCUUCACAGAGCGACUCACUGGGAGAGAGGAGAGAGGUGGCCGCCAGGAGGCAGACCUGUAUAUUGAAGACCCGUGGGGAUCCCUUUGUACUCCAGAGAGGCGUUCAUGCAUCACAGCCCCAGAAAUGAACACAGCUUUUAUUGUAGAAUAUAAUUAAAAUCUUAUGUUGUAUAGAAUUCAGGAAAUCAAAAUAACUAAGAUAUUACUUAUAUAUUUUUUCAUUAAAAUUUACACAGCCUUUUCAUGUGCCCAUUUCUUGAAACCAACACUGAUUAUGUAAACAUUAACUUAUAUCAAUGGAAAUAUUAUAAAUACCACUAAAUGCUAAUACAAAUUAUGUUAAUAAUAACCUGAACACCAGUUUGAUGGAAAAGCAGAGGUUAGCAUCCCUGACUACAAAUCUGCAGGCCUUGGUCCAAAUCCCGGCCCAGGCAGUCAGCAUGCAACCCACCCAGCUGUUCAUCCUUUCUUUCAGGAUGGUCGGUAAACGGGUACCUGGGGAGACUUGGGACAGGUAAACAGUGGGUAACACUGAUGUUGCAUGGGACCUGUGUUGGGUUAAUUAAUGGGUUCUCUUCUAGUUGUAUAAAAACAAAUAUAUUAUUCUUUCUGAUGCACAUCUUAAGUAAUACCGUAAAUUGUCUCUUUAUCAAUUUUGUUCUUGACCACUGCAUGCCUCCCUGGUGAAGUGUUGAGAGUGAAUUUAAGCCAUGACUAUCCAGGCUUGGGUCUGGAUUCCCGACUGAACAGUUUGGGCACAGCUGUUCAUCAUCUCUUUCAGGCUCAAAAGCUAAUGAGAGGUGAGCAAUGAUGCCGAGUGGUCAGCGUGUGGGCAUGGUAAGCCCGUGGUUCGAGUCCCACAAAAACACGCUGAUUUUUCAAGCCAUCGCCGAGUGGCAGAAGAUUACCCACAUGCUGCCCAGAU